rnacentral:tRNA from 1 species
UCCCUGGUGGUCCAGUGGGUAAGACUCUGUACUCCUAAUGCAGGAGGCCCAGGUUCGAUCCCUGGUCGGGGAA